GUGGGGAAUCUUGCGCAAUGGGCGAAAGCCUGACGCAGCCAUGCCGCGUGGAUGAUGAAGGUCUUAGGAUUGUAAAAUCCUUUCACCGGUGAAGAUAAUGACUGUAGCCGGAGAAGAAGCCCCGGCUAACUUCGUGCCAGCAGCCGCGGUAAUACGAAGGGGGCUAGCGUUGCUCGGAUUUACUGGGCGUAAAGGGCGCGUAGGCGGACAUUUAAGUCAGGGGUGAAAUCCCGGGGCUCAACCUCGGAACUGCCUUUGAUUCUUGGUGUCUUGAGUAUGAGAGAGGUGUGUGGAACUCCUAGUGUAGAGGUGAAAUUCGUAGAUAUUCGGAAGAACACCAGUUGCGAAGGCGACACACUGGCUCAUUACUGACGCUGAGGCGCGAAAGCGUGGGGAGCAAACAGGAUUAGAAACCCGUGUAGUCC
rnacentral:rRNA from 1 species